GCUCAGCUGGGAGAGCGCCUGCUUUGCACGCAGGAGGUCAGCGGUUCGAUCCCGCUAGGCUCCA
rnacentral:tRNA from 1 species